UUUGCCUCCCAUAGGGUUGAGCCUGUUGGGUCAUUUUCUCAGUGUUGGGUAGUUUUUUGUGUAACCCAAUCGUUGGGUUACCGGUUGGGUCCAAUUGAGUGACAGUUCAGAGAGUAAACCCCUCCCCCUCCUCGACGCCUCAGACAAACUCUACCUUCGCGGGCAUUUUGAAUCACCUCAGGAACAAGCGAAGACAGCUGUUAUUCGGAGAAAAAAGGGUGCAGAAUAACUGCUGAUAAUAAUGGAUAAUUCUGUUCAGGAGGAAGAGCAGUGGAACUUCGAUGUCCUGAUACCAAGCUUAAAGAUGAACAAAUUGAUAAAGAAACCCUCCUGCUGGACAUCCACUUCCCGAAGUGCACACCACACUGUUGUCUACUAACACCCAGGAAAAGAUAGAUCCUCUUCAGUAAGACUGCUCCGUGGAUAUGUCAGGUCCAGCAGUACUGGAACCAAAACAACUAACGCUCUUUAAACUGUUUUGUGAGUUCAUAUGAAGAGGAAAGUUCUCGGACUGCUACAUUCCUUGCAAAUGUCAACCAAUACCAUGAGAAAAUAACGUUUUUCCAAAGGUUUUUACUGUACUAGCUGCACCGAUAUCAACAUUUGGUGGUUCAAAUACCCAUGUGAGGUCUCUUUUCAAGUUAAGGUAUUGUUUGUACAUUUUAAUUCACAGAAAUCCUGCAAAGUUUGUCGCCUCCCGAAAACGGUGUCCUUUUUUCACAUCCUAACGCGUGUUUAUUUCCCAUUUUUUAAAUAGAAAACUUGUGCAUAGACUGAUAUUUUAAGUGCAGUUCUACCAACAAGGGUUUAGUAAAAUAUAAACAAAUGGUUCAGUAUAUUGGUAACAAAUACAUUCUCUGAGUGUUUUUAUGUCACAUCCA